CGAGCGAGAGAGAGUUUACUUUUUCGAGCGAGUGGCGAACGGGUGAGUAACGCGUGAGGAACCUGCCUCAAGGAGGGGGACAACAGUUGGAAACGACUGCUAAUACCGCAUAAGCCCACGACCCGGCAUCGGGUAGAGGGAAAAGGAGCAAUCCGCUUUGAGAUGGCCUCGCGUCCGAUUAGCUAGUUGGUGAGGUAAUGGCCCACCAAGGCGACGAUCGGUAGCCGGACUGAGAGGUUGAACGGCCACAUUGGGACUGAGACACGGCCCAGACUCCUACGGGAGGCAGCAGUGGGGAAUAUUGCACAAUGGGGGAAACCCUGAUGCAGCGACGCCGCGUGGAGGAAGAAGGUCUUCGGAUUGUAAACUCCUGUUGUUGAGGAAGAUAAUGACGGUACUCAACAAGGAAGUGACGGCUAACUACGUGCCAGCAGCCGCGGUAAAACGUAGGUCACAAGCGUUGUCCGGAAUUACUGGGUGUAAAGGGAGCGCAGGCGGGAAGACAAGUUGGAAGUGAAAUCCAUGGGCUCAACCCAUGAACUGCUUUCAAAACUGUUUUUCUUGAGUAGUGCAGAGGUAGGCGGAAUUCCCGGUGUAGCGGUGGAAUGCGUAGAUAUCGGGAGGAACACCAGUGGCGAAGGCGGCCUACUGGGCACCAACUGACGCUGA
rnacentral:rRNA from 1 species